CCUACGGGAGGCAGCAGUGGGGAAUAUUGGACAAUGGGGGCAACCCUGAUCCAGCCAUGCCGCGUGUGUGAAGAAGGCCUUUUGGUCGUAAAGCACUUUAAGCAGGGAGGAGAGGCUAAUGGUUAAUACCCAUUAGAUUAGACGUUACCUGCAGAAUAAGCACCGGCUAACUCUGUGCCAGCAGCCGCGGUAAUACAGAGGGUGCGAGCGUUAAUCGGAAUUACUGGGCGUAAAGCGAGUGUAGGUGGCUCAUUAAGUCACAUGUGAAAUCCCCGGGCUUAACCUGGGAACUGCAUGUGAUACUGGUGGUGCUAGAAUACGUGAGAGGGAAGUAGAAUUCCAGGUGUAGCGGUGAAAUGCGUAGAGAUCUGGAGGAAUACCGAUGGCGAAGGCAGCUUCCUGGCAUAAUAUUGACACUGAGAUUCGAAAGCGUGGGUAGCAAACAGGAUUAGAUACCCUGGUAG
rnacentral:rRNA from 1 species